rnacentral:rRNA from 1 species
GAUGAACGCUGGCGGCGUGCCUAAUACAUGCAAGUCGAGCGAACAGAUGGGGAGCUUGCUCCUCUGACGUUAGCGGCGGACGGGUGAGUAACACGUGGAUAACCUACCUAUAAGACUGGGAUAACUUCGGGAAACCGGAGCUAAUACCGGAUAAUAUAUUGAACCGCAUGGUUCAAUAGUGAAAGACGGUUUUGCUGUCACUUAUAGAUGGAUCCGCGCCGCAUUAGCUAGUUGGUAAGGUAACGGCUUACCAAGGCAACGAUGCGUAGCCGACCUGAGAGGGUGAUCGGCCACACUGGAACUGAGACACGGUCCAGACUCCUACGGGAGGCAGCAGUAGGGAAUCUUCCGCAAUGGGCGAAAGCCUGACGGAGCAACGCCGCGUGAGUGAUGAAGGUCUUCGGAUCGUGAAACUCUGUUAUUAGGGAAGAACAAAUGUGUAAGUAACUAUGCACGUAUUGACGGUACCUAAUCAGAAAGCCACGGCUAACUACGUG